rnacentral:rRNA from 1 species
CCGGGAUAGCCCAGGGAAACCUGGAUUAAUACCGGAUGAGACGGGACCCGCGAUGGCGGGAUCCGGGAAAGGCGCUGCGGCGCCGCCGGGGGAUGAGUCUGCGUCCCAUUAGCUAGACGCGGGGUAACGGCCCACCGUGGCGACGAUGGGUAGCCGGCCUGAGAGGGUGGACGGCCACAUUGGAACUGAGGCACGGUCCAGACUCCUACGGGAGGCAGCAGCUAGAAUCUUCCGCAAUGGGCGAAAGCCUGACGGAGCGACGACCCGCGUGAACGAAGAAGGCCGUGAGGUUGUAAAGUUCUUUUCGGGAGGGGGAACAACCGUGGCAGGGAAUGGCCGCGGGAUGACGUGAAUCCCGGAAUAAGCCCCGGCUAACUACGUGCCAGCAGCCGC